UAAGCGGAGGAAAAGAAACUAACAAGGAUUCCUUAGUAGCGGCGAGCGAAGCGGGAUGAGCUCAAAUUUGAAAUCUGGCGUCUUUCAGGCGUCCGAGUUGUAAUCUAUAGAAGCGUUUUCUGUGCUGGACCGUGUCCAAGUCCCUUGGAACAGGGUAUCAAAGAGGGUGACAAUCCCGUACUUGACACGACCACCAGUGCUCUGUGAUACGUUUUCUACGAGUCGAGUUGUUUGGGAAUGCAGCUCAAAAUGGGUGGUAAAUUCCAUCUAAAGCUAAAUAUUGGCGAGAGACCGAUAGCGAACAAGUACCGUGAGGGAAAGAUGAAAAGCACUUUGGAAAGAGAGUUAAACAGUACGUGAAAUUGUUGAAAGGGAAACGAUUGAAGUCAGUCGUGUCUAUUGGUUUCAGCCGGUCCUGCCGGUGUAUUACCUUUAGACGGGUCAACAUCAGUUUUGGACGGUGGAUAAUAGCAGUUUGAAUGUGGCACCUCCGGGUGUGUUAUAGCUUUCUGUUGCAUACACUGUCUGAGACUGAGGACUGCAGCUCGCCGCAAGGCCGGGGUUUCGACCCACGUUACGAGCUUAGGAUGUUGACAUAAUGGCUUUAAACGACCCGUCUUGAAACACG
rnacentral:rRNA from 1 species